rnacentral:rRNA from 1 species
UACCUACGGGACGCAGCAGCGAGGAAUAUUGGUCAAUGGGCGGAAGCCUGAACCAGCCAAGUCGCGUGAGGGAAUAAGGCCCUACGGGUCGUAAACCUCUUUUGCCGGGGAGCAAGGGCGGGGACGUGUCCCGGCCCGGAGAGUACCCGGAGAAAAAGCAUCGGCUAACUCCGUGCCAGCAGCCGCGGUAAUACGGAGUAUGCGAGCGUUAUCCGGAUUUAUUGGGUUUAAAGGGUGCGUAGGCGGGCUUUUAAGUCAGCGGUAAGAAUUCGGGGCGCAACCCCGUCCGGCC